UAGAAGAGCGGUAAGCCCAUUUCAGGUGGUCCAGGUGUUCCCCUCCGUAUGGUGGCUAAUAGCCUGGAUAUUGUCCCUGAUUGGCACGCUCUUCUU
rfam:Elusimicrobia bacterium GWD2_63_28 gwd2_scaffold_85, whole genome shotgun sequence.